GUACUUAUCUGGCAGGGCCGAACCCUGCUCAAGAAGGUGGUCUUUCCAGAACUAGGCUCAUCUGCUGAACUUGGGAUGUGCUGAUACCUGUGACUUCCCCAAAGGCAGGAAAUUCAUUUGCAUCAUGUGUGGUAGCUGAGGGCCAUGAUUACACUCUUCUCUG
rnacentral:snRNA from 1 species